CGAAGAACCUUUACCUGGUCUUGACAUAGUAAGAACUUUCCAGAGAUGGAUUGGUGCCUUCGGGAACUUACAUACAGGUGCUGCAUGGCUGUCGUCAGCUCGUGUCGUGAGAUGUUGGGUUAAGUCCCGCAACGAGCGCAACCCUUUUCCUUAUUUGCCAGCGGGUUAAGCCGGGAACUUUAAGGAUACUGCCAGUGACAAACUGGAGGAAGGCGGGGACGACGUCAAGUCAUCAUGGCCCUUACGACCAGGGCUACACACGUGCUACAAUGGUCGGUACAAAGGGUUGCUACCUCGCGAGAGGAUGCUAAUCUCAAAAAGCCGAUCGUAGUCCGGAUUGGAGUCUGCAACUCGACUCCAUGAAGUCGGAACCGCUAGUAAUCGCGGAUCAGAAUGCCGCGGUGAAUACGUUCCCGGGCCUUGUACACACCGCCCGUCACACCAUGGGAGUUUGUUGCACCAGAAGUAGGUAGUCUAACCUUAGGGGGGACGCUUACCACGGUGUGGCAGAUGACUGGGGUGAAGUCGUAACAAGGUAGGCGUAGAUGA
rnacentral:rRNA from 1 species